UACGUAGGUGGCAAGCGUUGUCCGGAUUUACUGGGCGUAAAGGAUGCGUAGGCGGAUACUUAAGUCAGAUGUGAAAAUCCCGGGCUUAACUUGGGAACUGCAUUUGAAACUGGGUAUCUAGAGUGCGGGAGAGGAAAGUGGAAUUCCUAGUGUAGCGGUGAAAUGCGUAGAGAUUAGGAAGAACACCAGUGGCGAAGGCGACUUUCUGGACCGUAACUGACGCUGAGGCAUGAAAGCGUGGGGAGCAAACAGG
rnacentral:rRNA from 2 species